rnacentral:lncRNA from 1 species
CCCUGCUCUGGUCAGAGGCGCGGCUGCGGCGCCGCCUGGAGUUGCAGUCCCGCGUGGCUGAGGGGCCGGGCCGCGGGGCCGCCGGGGAGUUACACCAGUGCGUGGCUGAGGCACGGAAGACAGAGAUGAUUCCGGGGUGGCUCCUUUGAACCGCUGCCUACUGGGCUUCAGCAGAGAGAAAGUAAUACCUCGGUUCAGGACCGCUUUUGUUUGCACACAGUUCGGUUGGCAAACAAAAGCGUUGGGCACAAUUUUGCUUCCCUAAGCAAACUGCACAUCACGUGGCAAACAAUACCAAAGCCGUCUUCUCCACAUGAACA